CAGUCGCCACGGUAAUACGAAGGGUGCAAGCGUUACUCGGAAUUACUGGGCGUAAAGCGUGCGUAGGUGGUGGUUUAAGUCCGUUGUGAAAGCCCUGGGCUCAACCUGGGAAUUGCAGUGGAUACUGGGUCACUAGAGUGUGGUAGAGGAUAGUGGAAUUUCCGGUGUAGCAGUGAAAUGCGUAGAGAUCGGAAGGAACAUCUGUGGCGAAGGCGACUAUCUGGGCCAACACUGACACUGAGGCACGAAAGCGUGGGGAGCAAACAGGAUUAGAUACCCCUGUAGUCCCUGUCUCUUAUAA
rnacentral:rRNA from 1 species